AGUGUAGGUAUUGGGUAGGAUUAAGGAUGUAGAUUAUGGUCAUGCAAUAUAUGUGCUUUAUCAGUACUAAUAAGCAGCCAAUGUGCUAGUAAUAGGCAUGCUAAUAAG